CGGGCAGUGGCGCAGCUUGGUAGCGCGCUUGGUUCGGGACCAAGAGGCCGCAGGUUCAAAUCCUGUCUGCCCGACCA
rnacentral:tRNA from 1 species